rnacentral:tRNA from 1 species
GCCUGGGUGGCUCAGUCGGUCAAGCAUCCGACUUCGGCUCAGGUCAUGAUCUCGCAGUUUGUGGGUUCGAGCCCCACAUCAGGCU